AACUGUUGUGUGUUUGUGGGCAGAUGAAACAAUCUGGAAUGAGAACAGAUUGUUUCAUCUGCCCACAAACACACAACAGUUGCCUAUAA
rnacentral:miRNA from 1 species